CAGCAUAAUAAUAAACGGUAUCAGUGAGGUGUGGAAAAAGAUAAUAAACAAACGGCUUAUUGAAAUCUUUGAACUGGGAAAUUAUUACACUCGAGAAGCUAAAAAAAAGACAUGAAUAGAUUAAAAAGAAGGGAAGGAAAUUAUACAAGGUAGUUUUUCUUCCAUAACAAACAGCUUCUUUUAAAACAUGUGAACUGGGAAAUGAUUACACUCGAGAAGCUCAAAAAAAGACAUGAAUAGAUUAAAAAGAAAGGAAGGAAAUUAUACAAGGCAGUUUUUCUUCCAUAACAAACAGCUUCUUUUAAAACAUGUGAACUGGGAAAUUAUUACAUUCGAGAAGCUCAAAAAUAAACAUGAACAGAUUAAAAAGAAAGGAAGGAAAUUAUAGUAUGGAGCUUUUCUUUUCCAUAACAAACCGCUUUUUUUUAAAAGGCGUCAGUGAGGUGUGGAAAAAGAAAAUAACGAACAACUUCUUUUAAACAUCUGAACUGGAAAAUUAUUAAACCCGAGAAGCUAAAAAACAUGAAUAGAUUAAAAAGAGAAGGAAAAUAAAGUAGGUAGCUUUUUUCCAUAACAGCUUCUUUUAAAAUGUGAACUGGGAAAUUAUUUAACUCGACAAGCUGUAAAAAUAUGAAUAAAUAAAAAAGUACCGAAGGAAAUUAUAGUGGGUAGCUUUUCUUCCAUAACAUACAGCUUCUUUAAAAUAUGUGAACCGGGAAAUUAUUUAAACCCGACAAGGCGAAAUAAUAUGAAAUAAAAAUACAUAAGGAGGGACAUCAUAGUAACUCCGAGCGCACAUUUGUCUCGAAAAAUGAAACUUGAGGUAAGAAGCAAAAAGGCACGAAAAAAAAUAAGUGGAAAAAGAAAAUAAUAACAAAUGGCUUCUUUUAAUGUUUGGACUGGGAAAUUAUUAAACUGGACACGCUGAAAAGUAAGAAAAAAAAAAAAAUACAAGACAUAAGGAAGGACAUUAUUAUAG